rnacentral:lncRNA from 1 species
GAAUUUUAAAAAUCCAUACAUCAACUCAUAUUUCUCUAAAAAUUAAUUAUUAAUCAGCCAUUAUAAGAAAAAAAAGAAAGAGAAAGCAAGCAAGCAAGGAAGAAAGAAAGAAAGGAAGGAAGGAAGGAAGGAAGGAAGGAAGGAAAGAAUAAAUAAAUAAAGGAAAGAAAGAAAGAAAGAGAAGAAAAAGGAAAAGAAAGAAAGACAGAGAGAAAGAAAGGAAGGAAGGGGGAGGGUCAGAGGGAAGGAAAGAAGAAAGAGUGAGUCAGACAAGGAGAUGUGAGUUAGCUUUGUAAAUAUCCAUAAUCCAUUUUUAACUAUAACUAAGAAAUCACGUUGUCCAAGGCCUUGGGAGUCCACUCCUUGUACCAGUAUGCCUUGGAUGUUGGACACGAAAUCAAAAGAGAUUAUUUUGGAGCUUUAAGUUUUAAUGACUGCCUUGCUGGGAUUCAAACUUGCUUGGGGCCUGUAUCUUCUUUCUUUUGGUCAAUUUCUCCCUUUUUGAACAGGAAUGCUUACCCAAUUCCUAUACCUCCAUUGUAUCUUGGAAGUAAAUAACCUGAUUUUUAUUUUACAGGAUCAUAGAUGGAAGGGACUUGCCUUGUCUCAGACAGGACUUGGGACUUUUGAGUCAAUGCUGGAAUCAGUUAAGAAUUUAGGGGACUGUUGGGAAGGCAUGAUACCAUUUUGAAAUGUCAAAAGGGCAUGAGAUUUUCAAAGGGCCAGAGCAGAAUGAUAUACUUUUCAGAAUGAUAUCCCCCAAAUAUCAUGUUGAAUUGUAAUCCCCAAUGCUGGGGUGAGGUCUUGUGGGAGGUGUUUGGAUCAUGGAGGCAGAUCUCUCAUGACUUGGUACUUACUUCAUGAUAGUGAGUUCUCAUGGGAUCUAGUCCUUUAAAAGUGUGUGGCACCUCCUCUGCUCACUCUCUUUCUUGCUCCUGCUUUUACCAUGUGACGUGCCAGCUCUCCCUUUACCUUCUGCCAUGUUUGGGAGCUUCCUGAGGCCUUCCCAGAAGCAGAUGCCAGUAUGCUGCCUGUACAACCUGCAGAACUAAACCAAUUCUAUUCUAUGAACUGUCAAAUAUGAUCAACAUAUCCUUCACAUCUACGUUCAAAUCAAAGCUGGAGCCAUCGCAUGAAUAUGUACACUUUAAAAUUCACAAAAGGACAUUCUCACAGGUUCACUGGAGCUUAAUGAGUAGUUAAUAUAUCUGCACCGAAGUGACAGGGGAGAAGUGUUACUCAGCAAUGGCUAACCGGAACAUCUUCCAUUAUUAUUGAUUAUAUGAGUUUGAAAUUAUGAAAAUUGUUGGAGAGUUUCCUUAUCAAAUCUUUCCUAUGUAGUAAUAUAGUUGGAGCCAUCACAAAGCUGAAUUUUGAAGCAGGAAUUUAUUUUGAAAAAGCUGUACACGACUUGCUUGUGUUAGAGGAUCAUUGUGGUCAAAGGUUAUAGGAGGCAAAGAAAUUCCCAUCCUAGAUGCAGAAGAGCCUGCAAACUGAGCAAGAUAUAUGUAAAUGCAAGAUAUAUGUAAAUGCAAGAUAUCAGAAACAGGUCUAGGAGUGGAUGGUGACCCCUUUCUACAUGUUACUCAGUUACUACAAUAUAUGUUAAUCAAGUUGAAUAAUAUAUGUCAUUCAAACCUACUAAACAUCAAGCUACAACGAAUGACACUGUGAAUAUAUUUUCAUUGCUCCUCUAAUUAUGUCUUUGAUAUUGAUUUUGACGAAUGGAACUAGAGAGGGCAUAAAAGUAUCUGUAUUGCUCUUGAGACAUACCCCGUGCCAACCAUGGUGUCACUCAUGUAAUAAACUUUUAACAAAUA